UACGAAGGGGGCUAGCGUUGCUCGGAAUCACUGGGCGUAAAGCGCACGUAGGCGGCCUCUUAAGUCAGGGGUGAAAUCCUGGAGCUCAACUCCAGAACUGCCUUUGAUACUGAGAAGCUUGAGUUCGGGAGAGGUGAGUGGAACUGCGAGUGUAGAGGUGAAAUUCGUAGAUAUUCGCAAGAACACCAGUGGCGAAGGCGGCUCACUGGCCCGAUACUGACGCUGAGGUGCGAAAGCGUGGGGAGCAACAGG
rnacentral:rRNA from 1 species